rnacentral:lncRNA from 1 species
AAAACCUAUGCCUGCCCACACAAGCACAAAUAGGAAGAAACAUACCAAAAUGCUAACAGUGCUCAUCACUGCAAGUUAUAUUUAUUGGGGAUGCUUUCCAAAUUAUGUUUUCUAUAUUUUUCAAAUUUUCUGCAAUGCAUGUGUCAACUUUAUAAUGAGAGAAAAGUACUUAGCAUAUUUGAAGAGCAGUUAUAUGCUGAAUGAGCGGUAGAUUCAGGGAUGACUUGAAGCUGGAACUGCUCAAGAACAGCUUCCCAAUGAGGUGUGACCUUCUCUCUGGGAGUGUCCAGGUCUGCACUGGGUGGGGGAGUUGAACAAGAGAGUGGCCAAGUGUGAGAAAGGUUGGGAUGAAAAGGAAAAUGACCUUUACUGAGCAUCUGCUACAGACUGGUUUCUAUGUUCCAAAGCUGAGAUUAAAAAUCAAAAUAACUUCUGCAAUGAACUAAAGCUGGUAAGUGUUGGAGCUGAGACCUGAAUCCAGGACUUCCUGGCUCUGAAGCACAAAUUUGAAGCAGCCUUCUUCACCUGCAGGAGCCAGGCCUGCAUCAGUCAUCUGUUUAUAAGGCCAACAGCCUGAUCACCUCUUGCAAUCAACCAACAGAAAAUGUUUGCUCACUCCUGGUUUCAACCAUUAGAAACUGAGAGCUUGAAUUUGACAAUGGGAAGCCAGGCGUUCUGUAGGGAGCUCACAGCAAUAUGUUCAUAGGAUGGGAUUCUAUUUAUAUUUUCAGCCUGUGCCACCUCUUGGGAUCACACAGCAGGCAGCAAACUUAUGGAACGUGAUGCUGAAAUCACAUUCUGUGGGCAGCUGCAUCAUUGAACAUUGUCUGGAGCCUGCUCUAUUUUGAAAGAACUCUUUGCUGCAUGCUCUAGGGCACAGAUGGAGGCAGCAUCAUAGGUGGGUUAAGGAGUUACCUCAUCUUUGGCACAACCUGCUAAGCUAACCUGAGUACUCCCAGCCAUUAUUCCACAAGCCUCUACCGAGUGCCUCCUGUAUGACAAGUGUCAUGGAACUCAUAUCAACAGCAUGCAUUUCCUGGAGGCACAGUUCAAUAGAGAGCUGGGGGUGAAAAAAAAAAGAGAAAAGAAAAAAUAAGAAAGCUAUAACAUUUGAGCUUGAAAUGUCACAGGGAGCCAAGGAAGUUGUCUGAUGGAUUGCCCUGUCAUCGCCAAGCCAAAAGAAAAAAAACUUUCAGAUCCAUCAAUUUGUUCCUGCCCUUUUAAUCCAAACAAUAUUUUACAGCAUCAGAACGCAAAGAAAUUAUUUUCUUAGACAUUCAACUCCGCAUGUGGACUGCUGAGCACUUAACCAGAAAGCAGCAAGUGAGAACUGUAGGUUGUUCAAGUGUCUGCACAUCUGAUUGAUCCAGAUUGAAUGUAUAAUAUACUGGAACACAUAUGAGAGCCUACUGGUGACAUAUGUUCAUUCAUUCAUUCAUCCAUGAGGAGUUGACAUCUCUUUGCCAUAGACAAUGAAUUUGAAGAGACACCUGUGUACACGUGCACCAGCUGCCCAGGAUGAGGACUGCUCCUGCCUGCUCUGGACCUGCUCCUCCCUUUGGCUGGCUUUCCAAUUAGUGUAGACCUGUUCUCCAGUAUCCCAGCCUCUCCUCGGGCCACAUUUGAGGAUACCACCAUCCACCCCUUGGAUCAAAUGUUUGGCUCUUGGGCUCAGACCGUGUUGGGAUAUAGCUUUAUUUGCAAAGUAGGCUGAAAAAUUCCCUCUCCUGACAAGGAAAGCUGAUUGGCAGUAUGAAGAGUACAUUGCAGAAGUUUUGAGGAGGACAAGCACUUACAAUGGCUUUACAAGGAUGGCUGGCCAAGUGAGAUAGAAUUUAACAUGGGUAUUUGUCAGCCCUCAAACAAGUCCUGCCUUCUUUCCUCCAGGUCUUUAUUCACACUGCUUCUGCCUCCUCUAAGCAAUCCUUCCUGAUUUCCCCCGUCCCCUCAGUCAGUGUGCUCUCUCCCUGUCCCCUUGUUGUUGGUUCCUCUAUCUUGGUGAUCUGCUUUGCAUGUGAACGACCCAUGUGUGCGUCUAUUUCUCUCACUAUAUUGUAAUAUCCAUGGGGCUUAACUGUGUCUGUAUUCCUACACGAUGUCUAGCACAAGGAAUAAUAAAUCUUUAUUACAAUGACUUGAAUGGGAAGAAAUGUAAAGUGGGCAUGUCCUGUAUUGCUUGUGGGAUAAGUGGAGUCAUCAUCUGUUUGUUCAUACAAAGACUUGUACAUGAAUGUUCAUGUGAGCCUUAUUCAUAAUCGCCAAAAACUGGAAAUAACUCAAAUGUCUACAUCAAUGCAAUUGAAUACUACUCAGCGAUAAAAAGGAAAGAACUACUGGCGUAUGCAACAACAUAGAUUAAUCUCAAAGGCAUCAUGCUAAGUAAAAAGUCCAGACAUAAAAAACUGUAUACUGUUAGAUUCUAUUUAUAAGAAAUUCUAGAAAAUGAAAAACUGUAGUGACAGAAAGCAGACUAGUGGCUGUAUGGGACAACAGAUGGCAGGAAGUGGGUUGAAACAGUGGGAACAUUAUUUGUUCCCGGGGACACAGGGAAGUAAUAGAAAUGAACUAAUCCUGAUUGUGGUGAAAUUUGCACAGCUGUGUUCAUAUUCUCACACUCACCAAACAGUAUAUUUAAAAUAGAUGAAUGUUAUUGCAUAAAAUUAUACUUCCAGAAAGCUAUAGAAGAAAAUUGGCCAGAAUGUGAAGGAUUUUGGGUGCAACUUAAGAUGUUUGAAAUCUAUCAUUGGCUAUAGAAGCACUAAAAUGUUUGAAGAAGGGAGAAAUGGAUGGUGUUGGAGAGAAGAUACUGGGUACAAGAGUUUUUUUGUUUUUUUUUGUUUUUUUUUUGGUUUUUUUGAGAAGGAAUCUCACUCUGUCACCCAAGCUGGAGUGCAGUGGCGCUAUCUCAGCUCACUGCAAGCUCCACCUCCUGGGUUUGCGCCAUUCUCCUGCCUCAGCCACCCGAGUAGCUGGGACCACAGGCGCCUGCCACUACACCCGGCUAAUUUUUUGUAUUUUUAGUAGAGAUGGGGUUUGUCCAUGUUAGCCACGAUGGUUUUGAUCUCCUGAGCUCACGAUCUGCCCGCCUUUGCCCCCCGAAGUGCUGGGAUUACAGGCAUGAGCCACUGUACCUGGCCAAGGCUUUUUAAUGAAUUAUGAAAUAGAACAGAGAAGAUUAUGGCCUAGGUAAAGGUGGGAACAAAGGAAAUAGAAAUGAUCAGAUGGAUGCAGGAGACUCAGCAAUGAAAUAAUCACAGACCCUGCGAUUGAGGACUAAAAAGAUGCAUGUUUUGGCUGAGCCUUUAGUUUGAUGAUCUUGGUGAGAGAUGCUUGUACAAACCUGGAGCCAGCUUGGGGAGAAAGUGGGUGGAUCCAAGGUCCCGAAUUCUACCAUGGAAACAAAUUUAGAAACUUGGUUUAAGCUAGAUGCCAAAUUGAUUCCACAGGAUUGCCAAAUAUUAGGAGGGCAGGGACAAAGAUACUGGCAUUAGUGAUGUGAGGAGGCAUGAGACUCCAUGUGGAAAUGGAGGCUUAUGGACAUGGAUUCCUUUUGUAAGGGCCUGCCCUCAGGAAGCCUCUCUGUCUGCCAGGUGAAACGUGUAAGAGGGAGCCAAGGAACUAAAGGGAUGAUUUAGGCCUGAGUGCCAGAGAGCAUUGCACCACCACUGAUAGACCCGGAGAACCCAGAAUGGGAGAUGCUCAGGGACAGUGGUGGUGAAGAGAAAAUACAGAAAGGGAACUUUGAUGGCAUCCAGUCCUACCUACCUCGCCAAAGAAGACACUUCUGCUAUGUCCCCAGUACCAUUUGGGUUGAGCAUUCUUCUAGAAACAUGAAGUCUACUGCUUUGUGAAGAGUUGGCUCCAUUACUGGACAGCUCUAAAUGCAGGUGAUGAUGAUGACGAUGAUGAUGAUGAUGAUGAUGAUGAUGAUGAUGAUGAUGAUGAUGAUACAAAGAGGAGCAGGAGAAGAGGACAGCUAACAUGUAUUGAGCAGUCUCCUUCUGCCGGACAUUCUUCUAGGCUGUACAUGCACUGUCUUAUUUAAUCCUCAAAAUAACACUAUAAGAUAGGCACUAUAAUUAUCUAUCCUCGUUUUGCAGAUGACAAAAUGAAGGCACAGAGAAAUGAUAUAGCUUGCUCAAGGUCAUACAGAAGUGGUCGACCUGGGAUUUGAACCCAUGUCAUCUGAUGGCAGAGCCUUCACAAGACUGGCAUGUGUUGCUUGCUAGUGAUUCCAUAUCUACCUGUCUGUAAUUUCUGUCUAAUUCCAUUUUCUGUAGGAAUUCAAAUCAGUAAACAGAAACUUUUUUGCAUCUUUUCAAAUGUGUUAAGACAGCAAAGUGUACAUUUUCUCUGGAUUUUCUCUUCUGUAUGUUAAAUACAUCCAUUCUAUCAAGUGUUCCAUAAGAGGAGAUCAUUCUAGUGCCCUUACCAUCUUGGUGCUCCUUAUUGAAUAUCCCUGAGUUGGUAAUAAUUCUCACUGAAGGUGAAAGCUAGAAGUAAACACAGUACUCCCAGUAUGAUUCAAUCUGAAUGGAGUAAAAUAAGAGAAUGUAGUGCAUUAUGGUUCCCUGUGUGGGGGUAGAGCAGAUGGCAAGAAGACUAGGCCUGGAGAAAAGCCCACUGUAAAAGGAUGGGGUGAUACUGAAUCAGAAAAGAAGACGAAACAAUGAGUUUAAGGAGGAUAAGAACUGAGAACUUAAACAGAUCUGCUGGCUUAGGGAGAGUCAUUGGGAAGAAAUGCAGGAGCUAUGGAAAUAGUAGGUAAUGAGCCAGCAGGAGGGACUACGUGUUGUCCUCUCUGGUUACAAAAGGAAAGGGAAAAGGACAGUGGCUGGUGGGAGGUGGAACAGACAGAAGGAUCAAGUAAGAGGUUGUUUACAUGCUAGGAAAGUGAGGAUGGUGCAUAAGGCAGGGAAAGGAUUGUCAAUAGAGAGGAAAGAAUGCACGAAGAGGGAAAGACUGAAGUUGCUGCAGCCAGAGUCAGAUGGAGACAGCAGGUGAGAUGAAAGGUAAAGGAAGCACUUUGUGGGUAGAGACAGCAAUAUCUGAAGGUGCAGAGAAGGAGGGCUGAUAACACCUCUCACAUACUGCUUCAUGUUGUGCAAAGGUUUUCCAUGUUCAUUAUCUCAUGGGAUCACACACCAGUCCUGAGAGGGGAAAUACUACUAUUUGUAGUUUACCAUGGAAGACAAUGGAGAGUCAAAGAAGGUAAGUGACUUCCCCAGUGCUAUGAAAGGAAUACAAUUUUCUGAUUUCUUGUCCCUUUUUCUGAGUCUAUGACUACAGCCUAUUACACUGUGUCCCAGAGAGCUCAGUAAGAUGUGAAUCAAGACCAUGUCCCAAAAGGGAACCAAGGGAAGUGAAUUGUUGAGAGAAAUUAGGAACUAAGGAGAGCUGGGAAAAUUGAGCACAUUGCUUAGAAAAGGGGUCAAUGAGAAAUAGAGAGUUGGUCUGUCAACAUCAAGAGCAUCAAGGAAGAUAGCCUAAGUCUGCACUAAUUUAAAGGAAGCCAACCCCAACCUACUCCUGUGUCCUGAGAAACAAUACUCCACCCAUUAAUCCCACUGAAUUUAAUGAAUGCCACAGUGUAUCAGAGAAACAGUAGGUGACUCAGAGCAGGAGCAGGAGUUUUGUGCGGCCAGACACAGGGUACAAGGUAUAAGAUGUACAUGAAUCAGGAUGAUGGUCAUGCCGGGCAGGAUGUUACCAAAGAUUGAUGUGCCUGCAAAGGGACCCAUAGGAAAGAAAGAGGACUCGGUGGAAGGGGGUGAUCUGAGAAGGUUUCUGGGGACUGCUGAGCCCAGAAUUUCACACAUGUAUAAGCAUGGUGGUGAGAGUAGCUACAAAAAUUAAGAAACCUUAAUGUUAGUGAAUGUGUUUGGCUGAAGACAAGUCCUUUUACUAAAAGGGCUGUAAAGCUCUCCCAUAAGGGUUGGCAAAGGAAGCCUUUGUAAAAUCUGGUGUGGAGAAGGGGCAUGAUGAGUCAACAUGGCAUUGAAACUGUCCAUGAGAAAUCAGGUUAGGAGGCUAAUGAAACACGGUGUGAAGGCCUAAACUAGGGUUCUGGCAAUAAUGAUAGGAAAAAAUGUUAUGAAAGGGAUAAUAAAUUGAUUUGGUUACUGAAUAAGACAUAGAGAAUGAAGGAGAAGACAGAAGUCAAGAAUGAGUCUUGAUCAUCAAUGAAAUCAUAGCAAUGUUGAUGGAUAAAUAAAAAUUAGAAGAGUCAUAGUUAAUGAGGAGAGGAGAGCUUAAGAGAACACAGGGAGAUAUGCAUAGAUACCUGGAGACACAGUCUGAUGUUCUCAUCAGUGAUCAGGUCUAAGUGAUGAGAUUCAGAGGUCAUCUAUAAGGAGAGACGUAUGACUCCUUGAGUGUGGGGAACAAGGUAGAGAAGCAGAAGGCCAUGGUCUGAGCCUUGAGUGACAUCAGAGAAAUUUUCUAUCUGCUAGGGAAGUGGGAAGAAACAUUUCAAUUAAAAAGCAUUUCAAUUCAAUAAUGAGAGAUACUGGAAAAAGAAGCUGAAGGCAUCAAAACUUAGAGAUGGUAAGGAAGUCG